GUUGUCGUAGUAGUAGGAGUCGGUUGUCGUAAGUAGUAGGAGCUGCGGUUGUCGUAGUAGUAGGAGCUGCGGAUGUCGUAGUAGUAGGAGCUGCGGUUGUCGU